AGUGAACGCUGGCGGUAGGCCUAACACAUGCAAGUCGAACGGCAGCACAGUAAGAGCUUGCUCUUACGGGUGGCGAGUGGCGGACGGGUGAGGAAUACAUCGGAAUCUACUUUUUCGUGGGGGAUAACGUAGGGAAACUUACGCUAAUACCGCAUACGACCUACGGGUGAAAGCAGGGGAUCUUCGGACCUUGCGCGAUUGAAUGAGCCGAUGUCGGAUUAGCUAGUUGGCGGGGUAAAGGCCCACCAAGGCGACGAUCCGUAGCUGGUCUGAGAGGAUGAUCAGCCACACUAGAACUGAGACACGGUCCAGACUCCUGCGGGAGGCAGCAGUGGGGAAUAUUGGACAAUGGGCGCAAGCCUGAUCCAGCCAUACCGCGUGGGUGGAGAAGGCCUUCGGGUUGUGAAGCCCUUUUGUUGGGAGAGAAAAGCAGCAGGUUAAUACCCCGCUGUUCUGACGGUACCCAAAGAAUAAGCACCGGCUAACUUCGUG
rnacentral:rRNA from 1 species